rnacentral:misc_RNA from 1 species
CCGAGUUUACAACUUCCAAACCCCUGUGAACAUACCUAUUAGUUGCCUCGGCGGAUCAGCCCGCGCCCGGUAAAACGGGACGGCCCGCCAGAGGACCCCUAAACUCUGUUUCUAUAUGUGAACUUCUGAGUAAAACCAAUAAAUAAAUCA